GAAACGCUGCCAAGACACUCAGACAGGGCACAGGGGCUCACAGGCAGACAAGGGUACCUGGCUGGCACAACGUGAGGCACAAGGGCGGCAACACUUCCAGGGAGGAAGAGACAGCUCCACAAAGAGAUGCCGGAUGUGGGUUCAGCGAGAGAGGGAAUCUGCAUGAAAGGACCCAGUAAAGCUGACAGACGAGAAAUGAGGCGUGCCUAGGUCCCAGCAACACAAGGAGCCCAGAGUGGAAGAAAAAGGAACAACGAAGAGACGCUGACAGGGAGUCAACAAUUUGACACAACUUCUGCCGGGGAACAGAGUGCAUCCAUGAACAAUUUAGUGUUGGGGUAACACAGUGCCCAAACUGGACUCUGCACCACUAAAGGAUAUGAAGAAAUUCUGCGGUGGGUUGGCACCCUGCCCGGGAGUGGUUCCUGCCUUGUGCCCUGUGUUGGCUGGGAUUGGCUCCAGCAGACCCCCGUGACCCUGUGUUUGGAUUCAGCGGGUUGGAAAAUGGAUGGAUGGAUGGAUAUGAAGAAAUUACAUAUGGACAGAGAUAUCGGGAGCACCACACACCCCUUUCCAGCAACCUCAUGACCCCCCCAUGCCCUUCCAAUCUGUCUACUGACUUCAUAGGAAGAGUCACCAGAGAUAUGAAUGUCAUUGCUGAGAGGAUCUGGCCAGUUGAUUGCACAAAAAGUGAGUUAGUUCUAUUACAUUUUAAUUUGAAUUUUUCUUUAUAAUUACAUGCAAUCUUAUUACUUUAGAUUUUAACUGUAGAAUUGGAGGCUGAGCAGUUUUAUUCUUUACAUCUAACUAGCAUGCAGUUAGAGGACCUAAUCAUUAGCACAGACUAAAUAUCCAGUCUCAGAACCCUGUAAGUACUGCUACAAACUUUGGACUACAUAGGCCAAUCUCUGAAUCGGCACAAGGACCUUUAGACAGCUUCUUAUUGAAUAUUUAUUUCAUGCAGCCCAGUAAGUUGAGUUAUUCAUUUGAGUGAGGCGAUGAAUGUUUGUUUAAAAGAAAAUGUAGUCUUGUGUGUUUUUCAAAACGACCAUCACUAGGAUUACUGAUGCAAAGACUCACCCAGCAUACCUACAUAAAUAGUAUGGGAAUCUGAAAGAAUUGACACCUGCUCUAAAACCAAUGAGCUGAAGGCUGAAAUUGAUCGGAUUCUGCAGGAUUUUCAAAGUUCUUUACCGGACCUUUAACCCCUUUCUCCUGAUUUACAAGAAGAGGUUAUUUUACUUUACACUAUUUUGGGAAACAUAUUCCCGAAAUAAUGGCAAGCAGAAGCAGUACCAAUGGGAGCAGCAGCAAUGGGAUCAGCAGCAGUGGGAGCAACAGCGGCAAAGGAAAUAAAAACAAUAUCACAGAAGUAAAAAGCAGAAAAAGGCGUUCAAGUGAGUACUUAAAGGUUGGGAGCAGUUCUCAAAUUUUAAAGUUAUUACUUGAUAUGGUGGAUGAACUUAGUUACUCUAUUCAGCCCCCAGAAAUUCCUACUCCUCUUCCACAAUAUUUUACUGAAUCAGAAUAUUUUAAUUGGCAAAACCAAAAUAUCAACCAAAUAGAUAAUAUUAGAGUUCCUUCACCAGUUACUGCUCCCAUUAACUUUGAUCACCUUGACUGUCUUUUAGAAACCAUGUAUACAAUCGCAACCACAUUGUUAGAAAGGGUUUACAGAUCUUUGACUGAAAAUGUGAAUGUUCAAAUGGGCCAUGAUUUAACAAACACCACGGGCUCUGCCAAAGUUCAGCCUUUUGUUCCAGCCAUUCAGAAGGCUGGCACCUCUGCUAUCCCAUCAGUCUCCUCUACUUCUACUCACCCCUCAGCCUCCAUUUCUAUUCAUAUUUCUUAUGAUCUUUGAAAGUUGUUUGUCUAUUUUCAUCUAAACAAUGGGAAAUGUUCAAAUUAGUUUAAAUGUGCUGCAAACAUCCGGGUGUUUAUUUUAAUUAUUUGCCUUACAAUCUUUUUUUUAUUCAAUAUUUGUUUUAAACCAGCUGAAUGUCGUGGGACCAAAUGGUGCUUUAUUCAGUAUGUGUCAAGAACCGAAUGAAUGUAAACAGUACGGCUUUCAUUAGUAAAACAAGGUUUUCCUUGGUAUAUUGAAUAUUGUUUCUUAUGAUCUUUAAAAGAUAAAUGAGCGCUUUCUGAUUAAGUGAGAUCUUACAGCUUUAACUUUUCUGAUGAGUUUUUGAUAACUUUAAUAGUUGCAUGCUAAAGGAUGUCUGUUUGUUAGGAGAUUAUUUUAAUCUUAUAAAUCUGUUUUAUGAUUAAUACAUUUGUUGAGCCUGUGUCCUUUAGAACUGACUUUUAAAAUAAUAUCAAUGGUAUAUAAAGUUUUAAAUAAUCUUGUUCUUUCCUAUAUUUUGGAAUUCUAGGCCCUCUACAUUCCAAGGUGUAACCUUAGAUGAUCUGAUAGAGGUCUGCACAUACUUUACCAACAGAGAUAUGCCAGACUAAUAUUAUAGAUCAUUUUUAAAAACUUCAAAAAACCCACUUUUUAAUUUGUUUUUUCUUAGUUACAUUUUAGAUGUAUUCCUAAUAGACUAUACAUGCAUAGAAAUAUUAUAAUCAUCAUGGAUUUGCAACCAUUACUAAUGUCUACUUUUAUCUGCUUUCUUUUCUGAUUUUUCUGUGGAGGCGUUUUGCUCCACCAGCCGAUCAGGGCACUAUGCAGCCACCUGUGAUGUUCAAAUGAAAGCAGGUUCCCCAACAGUGCAUGAGAUCCACUGCUUCGAAUACUCUGGGAUGAGGCCUAGAAAUAACGAGGAUAAUUUAAUUUAUGGCACCUGGAUGUUUUUUUGGACUUGGAACCCCUGCAGAUUUUGUUUUUUCCCCCAAUUUUUAUUUAUUUAUUUAUUUUUAUUUUUCUCUCUUCUCCCAGCCUUCUGACCCUAUCAUUGUACUCAUCUUUAGGGCCAUAGAAUAUGUUAUUAUAUAUAAGGACUUUUCUACUAAUUACAUAUCUAUAUUAUGUAAGCCUGCAUUGAUUAAUUUUUUGUUAUUUACUCAUUAUUAGUCUUACCAAAUUUUCUUUUUCCUUUUUUGUAGCUAUUUCUUUGACAUACUGUAAAGCACUUUGAGCUAUAUCCUGUGUGUGAGAUUAUUCUAUAGAAACAAAUGUUGUUGUUAUAAAUGGGAGUUUAAUUAAUUUAAUGUUUAUAUUAGGAAAUUUAUUGGAAGGAAAACAUGCAGUGGUUACAGAUAUUACUGUCAAAUUGUUAUGCCUGAUUGUUUCACAGACUAUUAGGAUUAUGUGAUUUAUUGCAAUGACUGCCACAGCAAAUUGUUGACUCUUAAAUAUGAAGCACUGACUGCUUGGCAUGGAGAACUGAAAUACAGUACAUACAAGAAAAUAGUUGAGAACAUAUGAUAACUUUUAAUUAUCAAGGAAGAAUUAAAUAUGAAUGAUUUUUAAACUAAUGCAACUAAAGGUAGAAAGCCUUAUUCUAAUUAUUUGAAAAGAAAGUGAUAAAGGGGCUCAUCCAGCGCAAGUGACUCUGUUCUGGUUAGGAUUAUUCUGUACAGAACUUUGGCCAUCACAGCUGUGAUGCUGCCAAAUAAAAAGAGAGAAUAUUCAGCAGAAUUAAACAGUAUAUAGCUAGCAAGCCAGAUACAAAUGAAGAGAAAAAAUUAACAAUGCAAUCAACACACAGGACUUUUCAUUUGGGAAAGCAACUGUUUUUUUUAAUCCUAGUAUCUGACUUAAAACUCUACAACUGUAUUUGUAAGAGCUUUAUAACAUAUUGACAAAUUGCAAUAACCAGAUAUAUGGUGCACUAUGUUAUUUGUACAUAAAGUAAAACAGGGGUCAGUCCAUAGAGAAAAUAUAUUUUUUCUUAAUCAUAGCAGAAAACUCCGAAAAAGAUUUUUUUACAGUAUUGUGCUAUGCUCAUUCUUUGUUACCUUUGAAUUCCUUUCUUGGUAUUUCCUUGCCCAUGUGCAAAGGCAUCUGUGGUAUCUCUUUCCUGUACUGUGGUAUUAUUGGAAUUUCUUUGCCAUACUGCAGGUGCGCCAUCUCCUUGCCCAGGUGCUGCAUGGGUAUGCCCUCCUUACUCAUUGGAAUGUGAGGUAUUUGCUGCAUUGGAGCAUGUUGCUGGGGCAUCUGCUUGAUCCCAUAGUAAGCUCCAGCAUGGACAGAACUGAACUGAGCAAGGUGGAGGAUGAUGACAAGAAAUCGCAUUGGAAUUGGCUGGACAGCCAUGGCCUGUUGACAUUGCUGGAGUAUAAUCUGAGAAGUUGGGCACAUUAUGACAUGCUUGGAAUUAUAUUUCAGUAUAACGUACAAACAUUUGACAAAAAAAUCUACAAACACUGAAGCAGCAAACUUUAUCAAAACUAAUACUUGUGUUAUUCUCAAAACUUUUGGCCACAGCUGUAAUGGGGAGUUGAUGACAGUAUUAUCAAAGUCACCAGAACCUUGUGAACUGUCACACUGAUGUUGUACCCCAAAUGUGCAUGAUCAACUUUCUACAUUUGAUCUAAAAUCAUUACAAAGAAUCCCAAAGCUGCAUGACUGGUACUUUUUAUGAAGUAAAAUAAUUGAUGAGUUUUAACCAAAGGGGGAUUUAAGACCUAUAUUAUGUUGUGGCACUCGUAAAUAAAAGAUAUAAAUUCUUGUGUAACCAGCAAA